rnacentral:rRNA from 1 species
GAUGAACGCUGGCGGCGUGCUUAACACAUGCAAGUCGAGCGAGAAGUUUUGAAAAGAUUCUUCGGAUGAAAUUUAAAAUGGAAAGCGGCGGACGGGUGAGUAACGCGUAGGCAACCUGCCCCACACAAAGGGAUAGCAUUUGGAAACGAAUAUUAAUACCUUAUGAAACUUAACUAGUGCAUGCUAGGUAGGUCAAAGAUUUAUCGGUAUGGGAUGGGCCUGCGUCUGAUUAGCUAGUUGGUGAGGUAACGGCUCACCAAGGCGACGAUCAGUAGCCGACCUGAGAGGGUGAACGGCCACAUUGGAACUGAGACACGGUCCAAACUCCUACGGGAGGCAGCAGUGGGGAAUAUUGCACAAUGGGGGAAACCCUGAUGCAGCAACGCCGCGUGAACGAUGAAGGCCUUUGGGUCGUAAAGUUCUGUUCUAGGUGAUGAAAACUGACAGUAACCUAGGAGAAAGCCCCGGCUAACUCCGUGCCAGCAGCCGCGGUAAUACGGAGGGGGCAAGCGUUAUCCGGAAUUAUUGGGCGUAAAGGGUACGUAGGUGGCCUUUUAAGCGUAGGGUAUAAGGCAAUGGCUCAACCAUUGUUCGCCCUAUGAACUGGAAGGCUUGAGUGCAGGAGAGGAAGGCGGAAUUCCUAGUGUAGCGGUGGAAUGCAUAGAUAUUAGGAGGAACAUCAGCGGCGAAGGCGGCUUUCUGGACUGCAACUGACACUGAGGUACGAAAGCGUGGGGAGCAAACAGG